UGGGGAGUACGGUCGCAAGAUUAAAACUCAAAUGAAUUGACGGGGGCCCGCACAAGCGGUGGAGCAUGUGGUUUAAUUCGAUGCAACGCGAAGAACCUUACCUACUCUUGACAUCCAUAGAACUUUCCAGAGAUGGAUUGGUGCCUUCGGGAACUAUGAGACAGGUGCUGCAUGGCUGUCGUCAGCUCGUGUUGUGAAAUGUUGGGUUAAGUCCCGCAACGAGCGCAACCCUUAUCCUUGUUUGCCAGCGAGUAAUGUCGGGAACUCCAGGGAGACUGCCGGUGAUAAACCGGAGGAAGGUGGGGACGACGUCAAGUCAUCAUGGCCCUUACGAGUAGGGCUACACACGUGCUACAAUGGCGCAUACAGAGGGCGGCCAACUUGCGAAAGUGAGCGAAUCCCAAAAAGUGCGUCGUAGUCCGGAUUGGAGUCUGCAACUCGACUCCAUGAAGUCGGAAUCGCUAGUAAUCGUGGAUCAGAAUGCUACGGUGAAUACGUUCCCGGGCCUUGUACACACCGCCCGUCACACCAUGGGAGUGGGCUGCAAAAGAAGUGGGUAGUUUAACCUUCGGGGGGACGCUCACCACUUUGUGGUUCAUGACUGGGGUGAAGUCGUAACAAGGUAACC
rnacentral:rRNA from 1 species